AUGAUUCUUUUUGGAAUUUAGUGCUUGCAAAUUGGCAGAUCCGCUUCGGUGGAAUUUGCGGUACCGGCUAUGUAAGAUCGAGUAAGGUCAGGCGAUGUUUUUUGAACUGUUAGUACGAUAGCAAACGAUCGGAGGACACAGAGGACACAAAGAAGUGGCAGCUGUCGAGUACUGAUAGCUAACGAAAAGCAUCGCAAGACAGUUCGCGUUGGACUGAAAACGAUUCUCGCGCCGCGCACUUGAAUCUCCCGACUCCAGCGCCAGACACGCACCGGCAACCGAACGAAACGGGUAAGAACCGUUUACACGCAAUCAUAUCAGCUUGAAGUGCUCGCUUUAGUGACAACCGCAAAGCUACCUGUGGCGCGGCGUCAAUUCUCGGAAGGUCUAUAGAAGGGAGUGCUAUUGAAGAGCUUUACUGUACUUAUAUUUUCGUGUUCAGAAAGGAAGUACAAGUGUUCCUUUUAAAACGGAAGUCACGUAUGAAUUGCAGUGUGCUUGGCUUUUCUUGUGAACGCACGUGCGGUAAAUUUUGCAAUUGGAAGAUAACGCCUUUUGCAAAAUAAUUACAUAGAAGCGAAUAAACUUUCUCAAGUUGACGUUAAAAUUGUUUAAGCU